GUUGGUGUAGCUCAUUGGUAGAGUGCAUGCUUUGUAUGUAUGAUGUCCUGGGUUCAAUUCCCAUCUUCUCCC
rnacentral:tRNA from 1 species